rnacentral:snoRNA from 1 species
GAAAAUGAUGAGAUAACUUGGAAUCUCGUUCGUCUGAACUGCUGUUGAGAAAUAUAAUAUCUGAUAUCA